UAUCGUGUUAGGGCUUUGAGUGACCAGUACGCUUGUGAAUACACUCUAACAACGAAAUCAAGAACAAAUCUAGAAAACGAAAAUCGUAAUUACCUUCGUUGUUACUGUAACUAAACUAUGAACAAGGUACUGUAUUCUCUAAAGAUUAGCAGGCACUCAGACAACUGCUUAGAACUGCUGCUGCGUAGAAGUCCUGCAGGCAGGACUCCUCAAAAGCCUACAGAACAACAUGGUUCUUCUUUCAGUUUGGCGCUAUAACCGUCUUGAACGCGUCCGCCAAAAUGGCGAGCCACUUACCAAUUGCUAACCGCCUGCGCCCCAGGGGAUCAAGGGUCAGGGUUAGUGUAUUGAUCCGAACUUUUUUCUUCUGCGUUCAGACGACACAGCACAACGCGGGAGGGGUUCGGUGCAGCGUAAAUUCUCAUAGCGUUCCUACAAAUGUUGAAACUAAGAGCAGAUCUAAAACUUGCUUCAAAUAGUUCGCAUAUCCUAGAGAAGGAUGCCGUUUAAAAGCUUGAUAAAGAUGAAACAAAUUGCUUGCCUAUAAUUUUUCUGAGUAUUUACCAUAAUUCUUUUUGACCCAUCUCCAUUCAUCGAAUGCUAUCGGAAAGCUACACGUUGCUUUACAUGUACACCACGAACGUGCCUCCCUUUGCUCCCUUGACUCUGUAUCCUACGAAACGCGACCCCUGUUUUACGUCGCCGUGUCCUCUCCUAAUUGCUUCGAGAGUCGCGCAGAACGCCAGCGUCUUUGGCAUCAUCUUCGAGCCCUGCUUUACAGGAUGCGCAGUACGCUCAUGGAUCCUUUCGUAUUUUUCUCAGGUGUGUCUGAAAAUGCUCAUGGGAAGCCCGGUAAGAGAAUCGGUGGGGUUCUUUCUAUCUAUCUAUCUAUCUAUCUACUGCUUAAUGUUUGCUAUUAUAUAACGCAGAGCCGCUUUAGAGUUGCUUGUAGAAAUGGCACACCACGUCGCUAUAGUGGCGCCCCAAAUUUCGUUGGGAUUAGACCAGCGAAACUUGUUGUCUUUUGUUUUAAACCGCCAUUAGAUUGUA
rnacentral:lncRNA from 11 species